rnacentral:ncRNA from 1 species
UGCCGACACCCUGUACUCGGAUCGUCCGGCACGUUCCUGCCGGUGAAGGGAAGUAUCU